rnacentral:rRNA from 1 species
GACAGAGGGGGCAAGCGUUGCUCGGAAUCACUGGGCGUAAAGGGCGCGUAGGCGGGAUUGCAAGUCGGUCGUGAAAUCCUUCGGCUCAACCGAAGAACGUCGGCCGAUACUGCCGUUCUUGAGGGAUGCAGAGGAGAUUGGAAUUCCCGGUGUAGCGGUGAAAUGUGUAGAGAUCGGGAGGAACACCGGUGGCGAAGGCGGGUCUCUGGGCAUCUCCUGACGCUGAGGCGCGAAAGCGUGGGGAGCAAACGGG